rnacentral:rRNA from 1 species
ACUCCUACGGGAGGCAGCAGUGGGGAAUAUUGCACAAUGGGGGAAACCCUGAUGCAGCCAUGCCGCGUGUGUGAAGAAGGCCUUCGGGUUGUAAAGCACUUUCAGUAGGGAGGAAGGUAGUGUAGUUAACACCUGCAUUAUUUGACGUUACCUACAGAAGAAGCACCGGCUAACUCCGUGCCAGCAGCCGCGGUAAUACGGAGGGUGCGAGCGUUAAUCGGAAUUACUGGGCGUAAAGCGCAUGCAGGCGGCCUGUUAAGUCAGAUGUGAAAGCCCGGGGCUUAACCUCGGAAUUGCAUUUGAAACUGGCAGGCUAGAGUCUUGUAGAGGGGGGUAGAAUUUCAGGUGUAGCGGUGAAAUGCGUAGAGAUCUGAAGGAAUACCAGUGGCGAAGGCGGCCCCCUGGACAAAGACUGACGCUCAGAUGCGAAAAGCGU